ACUUGUUUUCAGGUCGCCUUUGUUUACUUUGAAAUGGUUAUUUGUUGAAGUGUGCGGCACACUGCAUGUAGACAAUUAUCAAGCAACAUGACCUGUCACCCCGCAAUCACUUUCUUUUUAAACAAGCUCCAAAUAGCGAUCAACAUUUUGACUCCUAUAUUUAUUCCAAUAUUAUACCACAGUUAAUAAAAUAACUUACUCCUCAAAGUCACGUCAAAGUGAAAGUGUUUUCCCUAGCUCAACAGUGCACUGACGUAAAAAAACAACAAUGUCAUGUACCUGGAGGCAGAAGGCAACACUGAUGUUAAAGUGGUAAAAUACAUUAUUACAGAACUACAUGAUAUUGCGAUUACAUUUUAUUUAACUUAACUAAUAAUAGGCUUAUCGUUUUAAUGCAGCCACAAAACGAACAAAACAAGUUGAAAGGGAGAUCAGCCAAUCAGGGCAAACAAGCUCUUGCCAGAGCAACAAUGUCCAUUACCUAUGCACGUUUGUACAGUAUCGUAAUUUAAUUCACACGACUGCAAGGAAACUACAGAUCAUCCAAGCACUUUGAAAGGUACAUUUUCUUAUGUAUAAUAAUCUAAUAUGUUUCUGUCUUUUCUGAUGUUAUACUAAAGGUUAACCAAUUGUUUUCAUCAACGAUAAACGUCAACAUGUACAAGUUAGCUAUACUUUUGAGUAAUAGUUUAUAGACGUAGCUCUAGGUUAACUUCAAUUUAGCACAAUAACCUUGAAACAACGUAGAUUGCGCUUUUAAAAAGAUCAUACUUUUAUUCUCUCUGGACCCCACUAAUAUGUUCGUUUACUAAAACAAAGCCGCUACUAUAUGCAUUUUUUCCUCGGUCCCAAACACUGUCACACUUCUGUUUUGCCCUGAACAUGUCUUAAGCUGCAGUUUCAAUGUUUACUUUUACGGCUAAUGGACUCUUCAAACUUGUUAUUAAUUUAUAGUUAAUAUGGUCUAUAUACAUAGGCAGUGUUUAAAGACAAAGAGCUCAACUUGGGAAAGGCAUUUAUUAUUUUUUCGUACAGUUUAAAGAUGUGGUUGCAAUGUCAAAUCAGUUUCACAUUUUAAACAAACUGUGUGUAAUCUGUCGAUAGAUUCAAUUUAACAUCAACUACGAAGAUGCACAUCAGAGUAGAAGGGUAUAUUCCAGGUUUCAGAAGUGAAACAAGGAACGUUUAAGGCAUACUUCACUGCUGUACUUCAGGAAGCCACCAAAACACAAAAAUGGUCAUCUUCAGGACUUCACCCCACAGAAACACAAUUGGUUUGUGUGUGAUGAAAAAAAAUAGGAACCCAGUCAAAGUUGCAGACAUAAUGCUGACCCCAUCUCGCCAAAAUCAAGGACAGAAUGCUAUUUUCAUCAAUGAACGAUCCCAAUUGACAUGUGUGCAAAACUUGGCCUUUUGUUACGAUGAGUUUCUUCCAAACAACCAGCAGACCAGAUCAAUAACGACAUCAUUUCUGAUCCAAGAACACAUCGAAUAGAAAGUCACUUAAAAUGAUUUACCAUGUAAAAAAAGAAGAAGUAGAAGAAGUGCUAUCCUAAUAUUAUACAUAUAAAUAAUGCAUCUGUUUCAAUGUCCUGUAAUAGCAAAUCAUGCCAAGGAACUUGCCAUUUGACUUUUUGUAAUACUAUAAUUUGUAACAGAUUUCACAUGAAACCUUGCAGUAAUCUGAAUGCAUAAAGGGGUUUUACAGUGUGUUGAUUUACUAAAAUGUUGUUUAAAUGUUUCCUGUGUGUGCAGGUAAAUGUACUGGUAAAAGUCUUGGAGCAGAGAGAAAAAGAGAAAAUCAUGACUAGGACCCACAAAGUGAUGGACAAACAGUGUAUGCUGUGUCUGACAUGACUGCCUCCAUCAUGGUCACGUGUGGGGAAAUGAUGUGUUGGUGAUAGACAAAUGGUACACUUUUAGAGAUGUGUCUGUCCGUUUUUUCUAUAGCAAAGUCCUGCUGACAACCACACCACAAAGCACUUUCAACAUUGCUGAAGAUUCAGGAGCAGCAAAACAUUGGUUAACCUGCUCAAUAUGAUUUUUCAUUGGGUGACAUGCCUCAAAAAACACAAAAUACAAAUUAGGUAACAAAUGAUACUAUAGUUGAAAUGUGUUUAUACUAUUUCUUAAAUUGUACCCAAUGUUUUCAAUUACAAACCUUUGUUUCAUGUUAAAAUGUAGCUGUAAUCCUUAAUCAUGUUGUGUAAUAUUGUUUUUCACUCAGUGAGAUCAUUGAAUGAUUACUAAAGAAUAAUUUGUUGAGUUUUUGUUUGUGCCUUGUUAUCACAAUUACAAAUCUCCUUGUU